GGACGAACGCUGGCGGCGUGCUUAACACAUGCAAGUCGAGCGGUAAGGCCCUUUCGGGGGUACACGAGCGGCGAACGGGUGAGUAACACGUGGGUGACCUGCCCUCAGCUCUGGGAUAAGCCUGGGAAACCGGGUCUAAUACUGGAUAUGACUCCAUGACGCAUGUUGUGGGGUGGAAAGCCUUGUGCGGCUGAGGAUGGGCCCGCGGCCUAUCAGCUUGUUGGUGGGGUGANGGCCUACCAAGGCGACGACGGGUAGCCGGCCUGAGAGGGCGACCGGCCACACUGACACUGAAUAACGGGUCAGACUCCUACGGGAGGCAGCAGUCGGGAAUUUUGGGCAAUGGGCGAAAGCCUGACCCAGCAACGCCGCGUGAAGGAUGAAGUAUUUCGGUAUGUAAACUUCGAAAGAAUAGGAAGAAUAAAUGACGGUACUAUUUAUAAGGUCCGGCUAACUACGUGCCAGCAGCCGCCGUAAG
rnacentral:rRNA from 1 species